CCUGAACGCUGGCGGCGUGGCUAAGACAUGCAAGUCGCACGGUGUAGCAAUACACAGUGGCGAACGGGUGAGUAAUGAAUCGCUAAUGUACCCCGGACUCUGGGAUAGCUACCCGAAAGGGUAGGUAAUACCAGAUGAUAUAACCGAACCGCAUGGUUUGGUUCUCAAAGGUCCGCCGGUCUGGGAGCAGGCGAUUUCGUAUCAGCUUGUUGGUGGGGUAACGGCUCACCAAGGGGACGACGCGUAACCGGACCGAGGGGGUGGCCGGUCCCCAUGGGACCGAGGCCCUUGCCAGACUCCUACCGGGGGCUGCAGUAACGAAACUUCCGCAAUGGACGAAAGGGUGACGGAGGGACGCCGCGUGUAAGGCGAAGCCCUUCGGGGUGUUAGGUACUGUCAGGGGAAAGAAAGUUCUGGUCUACCCCAGAGGAAGGGACGGCUAACUCUGUGCCAGCCGCCGCUGUAA
rnacentral:rRNA from 1 species